GGCGUCGCGAGGCGCGUCUGGAGGAAGCCCACCGCAAAAGCAUGGGACGAUGAACAAGAACCGGAUAUGAGGUGUGGUACAACUCGGACGAGCGGGCACGUGACUGCGAAGUCCACUAUCUACUGUUGGGGUUGUGCUUUAUAAAUCCGGCGUCUAUGUGUGGAAAGUCACGACG
rfam:Lentisphaerae bacterium GWF2_57_35 gwf2_scaffold_544, whole genome shotgun sequence.